CCCCCCGGAAACCCGGUGUUUGGUCGGAGGCUAGAAGAGGAAAGACUGGCUGAGAAGCCGGAAGCGGAGGGACAGGGACCUUGGGGGGGCAGAGAGUGAGGUUGCUGCGGCUCCUGGAUCCUGAGAGAGGAAGGGGCUGAAGGGCCCGUCUUUCGGACCCUCAGAGGGAAGAGGGGGCUGCAAACCUGGGACUCUGGAUCCCCCUUUCCACCCCUCCCUCCAUUUCCCAACAGAUAACACACAUUCAUUCAUUCUUUCAACAAGCAGGCAUUUACCAAGCCCGCCGGUGCCAGGCACUGUGCUGGGCUGCUGAGUCGGAAGGAGAGUUGGAGGAGGCAGAGAUGGAGAUGAGCGGAGCAGUGAGCGAUGCGGGCUUGAGAGCGUACCCGCACUCCAUGAGAGAGCCCGACUCCCGCUUUCCCUUGGUUGCCUGGGCAACCAAGUCUCUCUUUUCUGAGCCUCAGUUUCUCCCUCUAUGGUAGAGUCUUGCUGUGUAUCUCGGGUUUGCCUGGAACGCACAAGGAUUGCCGCUGCCUCAGCUUCUCCGGUGCUGGCUGGCAUUACGAGCCUGCGCUACCACUCAGGAAGCGAUCCUUUUCUCUCCUCACUGUCUUCCCUGAAUUACAAAGGUUCUGGUGGAGGCGAGGUGGGUGGUAACCAUGGCUUCCUUGCCCCCCCCCCCCCGCGCGCCUCCCAGAUUCAAACCAGUCACUUGUGGUUUCUGUCUCUUGGACAACCCUGGUGACUGUCCAUACUCAGUUCCCUUGGCCUCCUGUCAGGACCUGUCUUUUCCUCAGGGGGCAGUGUCUGUAUCCAGAGGGGCAGGCCCUGUGUCUCCAACUCAGACUUUUUGGUUUUAUUCUUGUAUUUUUGGCAACUCAGGGCUUCCUUUAUCCUGGGGCACCCUUGGACUCUGGAUACUACUGCCUCUGCCUCCCUCCCAAGUACUGGCACUAUAGAUUUGAGAUAGCGUGUACCCCCAAAUUUAUUUCACUCAGAAAGAGUAUGUCUUGCUUCUUGACUUCCAUUGCUGAAUGGAGAAUGCUGUAUGUAUGUAUAUGUACAUAUGCGUUAUAUAUAUUAAAUAAAACAUAAACAAGC